rnacentral:rRNA from 1 species
UACGUAGGGUCCGAGCGUUGUCCGGAAUUACUGGGCGUAAAGAGCUCGUAGGUGGUUUGUCGCGUCUGCCGUGAAAAUCCGGGGCUCAACCCCGGACUUGCGGUGGGUACGGGCAGACUAGAGUGUGGUAGGGGAGACUGGAAUUUCUGGUGUAGCGGUGAAAUGCGCAGAUAUCAGGAGGAACACCGAUGGCGAAGGCAGGUCUCUGGGCCACUACUGACGCUGAGAAGCGAAAGCGUGGGGAGCGAACAGG